GCUCACCACCCCAGUGACUUCAGGGCAGCCCACCUUCCCCUGGCGCUCCUCAAACGAGCCAGGGAGUGGCCCCUGCUCAGACUCCCCUCCUGCCUCCCGGACCCUGCAGGCCUACCCGCCCCAGUUGCCCUUUGCCCUCCUGCAGCCUUCUGGGGGUGCUACAUGUCUGAGGCCCGGUCUUCUGUCCUGCUCCUCCUGAUGGGGGGUCUGGGCACUCUCCCUAAUUCAUCGCGAAGACUCUGACACCCAAUGCCCGUCUUCAGGCCCCGGCAGAUGCAGAGAAGUGGGCUUCACACCCACAUCUGCCUGACCUCAGGUGCUGGCUCCUGCAGUCACAGCCCUGAGCCCCGGCCCCUCCAGGCUGUCUCCUGCUUGUCCAGGUCUUCUCUGAAAGAGGCCAAACAAGUUUUUAAAAGUUUAAGAAAAUCGAACAGAGGAGGAGAAAAAUAAAGCCACAAAUAUGGAAUCAUGGAAUAAUGAUUCCGUAAUAAUGGCCCACCAUAAUUGACGGGCCAAUCCCUUUAUCCAAGGCAUGUGUUGUUUGUUUGUUUGUUUGUUUUGAGAUGGAAUCUCACUCUGUUGCCCAGGCUGGAGUGCAAUGACAUGAUCUCGGCUCACUGCAACCUCCACCUCCCAGGUUCAAGUGAUUCUCCUGCCUCAGCCUCCCAAAUAGCUGGGAUUACAGACACCCGCCACCACACAUGGCUAAUUUUUGUAUUUUUAGUAGAGACUGGGUUUCACCAUGUUGGCUAGGCUGGUCUUGAACUCCUGACCUCAGGUGAUCCACCCACCUCAGCCUCCCAGAGUGUUGGGAUUACAGGCAUGAGCCACCGUGCCCAGCCAAGACAUGUAUUCUUACGCUUGAGAUAGAACAGGUCUACCAGCAUUGAAUAGAAAUCAGGGAGUGCUCACUGUUUGGAAGAGAAGGCAGACAAUGAAACUGGGUAGACAGGCGGCUGUGGAGCACGGCUCUGGCCUCUGAGAUGCCUGGGGCCAAAGCCAAGGGUGGAUAGAUCUGUGUUUCUGUGCCUCACAGCAUGAACCUAGAUAGGUGAUGCUUCCUGGGAGAAGCAGGUUUAAUCCAGGCACUGCUUUCUACAAAGAGCUGUUCUCAGAGGGCUUCUCUGAGGUCAAGGCAGGGUCUUCUGCCAAGGCAUGCUGGGUGGGUGGGGUCCCAGACACCCAUGGCUGCAAUGAGAUUUGCAGGAGAUGCAGAUCACCUCAGCCCAGUGUUCUUCAUAACCUGUCCCAGUGUCUAGGAGCUCCAUAACAUUCAUCCUGUGACCCUAACACUAACCCUGAUCCUCUACCUAACACUGACCCUACCAAUAACCCUGACACUAACCCUGACCCUAACACUGACUUUAAUACUGACCCUACCAGUGAUCCUGACAUGAACCCUGACCCUAACCCUCACUGUAUCGCUGACUCUCACUGUGACACUGUGACCAAGACCCUGACCCUGACCCUAAGUCUAGCCCUAAACCUGAUCGUAACACUAACACUGACCAUGAACUUGACCCUAACUCUAACCCAGGCUCUAACCCUAACCCAGAACCUGACCUUAUGAUACUGAUACCCUGAUGCUGACGCUGACCAUAACCCUAACCACCGCCCCAACCCUAACCCUGACCUUAUGACCUUAUGACCUUGAUCCUAACCCUAACUCUGAACCUAACUAUGACACUGACUCUAGUCCUGACCAUAAUUCUGAUCCUACUGCUAACCCUAACCUUGACCCUGACCCCCCAACUCACACCCUGACCAGGACCCUAACCCUAUGUUUGAACUAAAUGUCUUCACGUAUUAGGGAUGUUUUAAGGUUCUUGUAAGUUUGGAUGCAUCUUGCUGACUUGCAUUAUUUAUAAUUACAAACACAAGCAGCUAUGAUUGAGCUUUGCAGCAAAUGUUUUCCUUCUCUUGACUUCUGGGUCAGUUUAAUUAAAAUGUGCUUUGCUGUAGAAGUCAAGCUUUUUAAAAAACCAUUGAAUUUAUUGGACAAAACACAAUAUGUUGUAGCUGAGACCACACGGCCAU
rnacentral:lncRNA from 10 species